UACGAAGGGGGCUAGCGUUGUUCGGAUUUACUGGGCGUAAAGCGCACGUAGGCGGAUCGUUAAGUCGGGGGUGAAAUCCUGGAGCUCAACUCCAGAACUGCCUUCGAUACUGGCGAUCUCGAGUCCGGAAGAGGUGAGUGGAACUCCUAGUGUAGAGGUGGAAUGCGUAGAGAUCGGGAAGAAUACCCGUGGCGAAGGCGGCCAGCUGGGCCAGGUCCGACACUGAGGCGCGAAAGCGUGGGGAGCAAACAGG
rnacentral:rRNA from 1 species